rnacentral:misc_RNA from 2 species
UGUGGGAGCGAGCCUGCUCGCGAUAGCGGUGUGUCAGUCACAUUAAGGCUGGCUGAUCCACCGCUAUCGCGAGCAGGCUCGCUCCCACA